ACUUUAAAAGCCACGCGACCAUGAAACGGACAGGUGUUGCUUUUUUGUAACCUUCCUCCCCCCAAAAUAAAAACUUAGCCUUGCGUUAUCGACGACUUUAUCAGCUUCGGAAACCACAAAGAGGGGCAGGCAGGUGGAGGAGCUAGCGACGCUAUCUCGCUUUCCCAGCCCUUUAGACAAAAGGGAAAGUAAGGGCUUAGCUAUUAUUAGAACACGGAGAACCCCAGUUUAAAAAUACAACACUUCGCUCCGACGUGAUUGUCGUAGUUUAAUGGGAAAUUUUGGUCACAUAUCUUCCCGAUACAGUCAUUGUAAGUGGGGUUGGGGGGAGUGGCGGGGGGGAAGCGAGACACCUGCUCCAGCUGACCAGCUAGCAUCAGCGAGGCGGAGGGGGCUCGCUAACCCGGAGCUAGCACCUGACUCGCGAGUUUGAUUUCAACAUUUCGAUCCAAAAACCCAUGGCCUCAAAGUACAAUCGCAUCGGUCGGCGUUAGGCAUACGGUCUCCACGCCGCGGACCAGGGGAGCCUAGGCGGCGUUAGCACGCAAAGCUAACACGUUACAAAGAGGCAGGCUCGCUAGCAAAAACUGCUACCAGCCACACAGCCAGCGGAGCGAGCCUCCAGUGGACAAAAAAAAAGAAGAAAAAAAACCCCAACAACUCCCAUGCACCGCGUUCACGUCUUAAAGAAAUAAGAGGAAGCAUUUGAAUUAGAAGGAAACUAACGAAUGGGAGUAAAAUCAAAGGUUGUUUGCAAACCUGCUUGUGGAGCGGCGGAUCCCGCUGCCUCCAAAGGCGUCCACUUGCCCGAGGUGACCGGACUCGGCCCGCGCUGACAUCCCGUCGUAGGGAAAGAGUGCCUCCAUCUGCCCUGAGAGAUCUACAAGCACCCAGCCUGGGGAUGUCGUUGGUGAUGAGCUCCCACAAGUACCUGGGCUGUGGUCUGCUGCCGAUCCGGGGGUCCGACUGGACCGCAUGGAUGCAUCACUGGGAGGAUGAGGAAGGCCUGAGAGUGGCGGGCAGAGGUCAGUGCAGAAAAUCUGGCUAGGAGGAGGAUCGACAAACCUGAAAAUAUCACAGAGUUAUGGUGCACAUAAGUGCCGAGUGAGGAUCGUGGGGGGAGUCGCCUCCCUGUGGACUGACUUGGGGGGGGGAUGAGAUACACUUUGAGUGCAGCCAUCUGCAGUAACCUGUUGGAAAUGCGGCACUCACUGUGUCCAGGUGGAUGCGCUGAUGCUUGGCUCUGUCGCUGGAGUUGCUAAAGGCCUUGAAGCAUCCUGGAUGCUGGCACAGGAUUAGGAUUGUUCAGCUGUGGACUGUCGUCACCUUUUUUGGAAGAGCCUCCUUGAAUGCUCGCAUCUUGCCGGUACAGCGAUACCGCCGGCUUGACGUCCCGCUUCCCAUUUGUCAACACCUUCCUGUGGAGGCUCAGGCUCGCGACGGGGACAUGCCACAUGGCGACACCAGGAGCUGGCAACCCUUUCCGCUCAUGGCCGAGUGUUCAGAGGGAGCUCAUAUGAAAUCCGGCGCCUUUUAGGUUCGGCGUGCUGCUUUUUGGCUCAUACCUGCCAGGUGAAGAGGAAGAAUGAUGACACUGGAAAAAGUAAUAUUAAGGUUGGGGGUAGUAAUGGUACACCGAUGGAUUGUCAGCCAUGGGAGUUCAUGGAGAAUCUCGGGAACAAAGUUGGGAAUGCCCACACAUUCGGAAAAGAGCCAAUACAGCGCUGCCAGAGAGAUGAAGACGAGUGUGCAGGAGAUGUUCUUCUGAGCAUCUUCCAUCUCCAUCCAUCAAUCCAACGCGGACACCUCUGACAACCUUUACGACGCGAGCAGUCUUUCCAGUCGGCUACAACGUCCCUCGACGCCACCCUGCCGCGAGUCUCUCUGCGAGGGAGAAAAUGAAGAAAGACGAAAAGAAAAAAAAAGGUCAAAGCAAUUUAUAUGUGACACAUAGACUUUUGAUCGCUUUGUCAUCGCCUCGGGGGUUGAGCCCGGCCUCUUUCACCGCUGCUUGCACACUUAUUGAGACAGACAGAUGGACGCGCGUGCACACACGUCGACUGCCGUUUGCGGGAGGAGGUGAGCAAGACGAUACCGUUAAACCUUAAAAAAAAAACAAAA